rnacentral:rRNA from 1 species
AAGGCUAAAUACUCCCUAGUGACCGAUAGUGAACCAGUACCGUGAGGGAAAGGUGAAAAGCACCCCGGGAGGGGAGUGAAAGAGUACCUGAAACCGUGUGCUUACAAGUAGUCAGAGCCCGUUAAGGGGUGAUGGCGUGCCUUUUGUAGAAUGAGCCGGCGAGUUAUGAUAUGCAGCGAGGUUAAGCAGGAGAUGCGGAGCCGAAGCGAAAGCGAGUCUGAAUAGGGCGAGAGUUGUAUGUCAUAGACCCGAAACCGAGUGAUCUAGCCAUGAUCAGGUUGAAGUUGGGGUAAAACCCGAUGGAGGACCGAACCGACCCCCGUUGAAACGUUGGCGGAUGAAUUGUGGCUAGGGGUGAAAUUCCAAACGAACUCGGAGAUAGCUGGUUCUCCCCGAAAUAGCUUUAGGGCUAGCGUCAGAGUGAAAGUUAUGUGAAGGUAGAGCACUGAAUAUGUGAUGGCCUCAUCCCGAGGUACUGAAUAUAAUCAAACUCCGAAUGUCACAGGAACAUAUCUGGCAGUCAGACUGCGGGUGAUAAGGUCCGUAGUCAAAAGGGAAACAGCCCAGACCAUCAGCUAAGGUCCCAAAAUAUAUGCUAAGUGGAAAAGGAUGUGGAGAUGUCCAGACAACCAGGAGGUUGGCUCAGAAGCAGCCACCCUUUAAAGAGUGCGUAACAGCUCACUGGUCGAAUGACUCUGCGCCGAAAAUUUACCGGGGCUAAGCAUAAUACCGAAGCUAUGGAUUUAUACGACAAGUAUAAGUGGUAGGGGAGCGUUCCUGUCAGCGAGGAAGCAUGACCGCAAGGACAUGUGGAGCGGCAGGAAGAGAGAAUGCCGGUGUGAGUAGCGGAACGUGGGUGAGAAUCCCACGCACCGAAUACCCAAGGUUUCCAGAGGAAGGUUCGUCCGCUCUGGGUAAGUCGGGACCUAAGGCGAGGCCGAAAGGCGUAGUCGAUGGACAACGGGUGGAGAUUCCCGUACCUGAUGAAGAGGCAAUGGAGUGACGGAGCAGGCUAGGCGAUCCAGCUGCUGGAAUAGCUGGUGCAAGCGAGGUAGGGGACAUCCAGGCAAAUCCGGAUGUUGAAACCCGAAGGCGUGACGCGUAUGGAACAUUACGAUAAGUACAGGAGUCGCCGAAGCAAGCUUCCAAGAAAAGCUUCUAGCAAUCAACUCUUUGUCAGCCCGUACCGAAAAUGGACACACAUGGGUGAGGAGAGAAUCCUAAGGUGAGCGAGAGAACUAUAGCUAAGGAACUCUGCAAAAUGACUCCGUAACUUCGGGAGAAGGAGUGCUCAUUGAGAGAUGAGCCGCAGUAAAACGGCCCAAGCGACUGUUUACCAAAAACACAGCUCUCUGCCAAGACGCAAGUCGAAGUAUAGGGGGUGACGCCUGCCCGGUGCUGGAAGGUUAAGAGGAGUGGUCAGCGCAAGCGAAGCCAUGAAUUGAAGCCCCAGUAAACGGCGGCCGUAACUAUAACGGUCCUAAGGUAGCGAAAUUCCUUGUCAGGUAAGUUCUGACCCGCACGAAAGGCGUAACG